CACGUAGGGUGCGAGCGUUGUCCGGAAUUAUUGGGCGUAAAGCGCGCGCAGGCGGUCUCUUAAGUCUGAUGUGAAAGCCCACGGCUCAACCGUGGAGGGUCAUUGGAAACUGGGAGACUUGAGUGUAGGAGAGGAAAGCGGAAUUCCACGUGUAGCGGUGAAAUGCGUAGAGAUGUGGAGGAACACCAGUGGCGAAGGCGGCUUUCUGGCCUAUAACUGACGCUGAGGCGCGAAAGCGUGGGGAGCAAACAGG
rnacentral:rRNA from 1 species